rnacentral:rRNA from 1 species
UACAGGGGGUGCAAACGUUGCUCGGAAUUAUUGGGCGUAAAGCGCGCGUAGGCGGCCACUUAAGUCGGAUGUGAAAGCCCCUGGCUCAACUGGGGAAGUGCACCCGAAACUGAAUGGCUUGAAUGCAAAAGAGGGUCGCGGAAUUCCCGGUGUAGAGGUGAAAUUCGUAGAUAUUCGGAAGAACACCAGUGGCGAAGGCGGCUCACUGGCCCGUUACCGACGCUCAGGCGCGACAGCGUGGGGAGCAAACAGG